GGGAAUCUCUGCAGUAUGAAGCACUGCUGCAAGAAGCUCUGAUCUUACAAGAGAUGUCAAGGUUUGCCUAACUGUCUCAGUAGCUAGCUUGAUAACAUUGCUUGUUGCGGAAUAUCGCAAAUCUCCACUUACAUCACAUCCACACCACAGAACCUGCUUGGUCUUUUAUGAUAAUUUUCAUUGAAGUAAGGCAAAGUGGAAAUACCAGUCCCUGUGUGUCAAUUUGAGGCAAAACAUAUUGGACCAAUAGGGCACUCUGCUUCAAUUUGUUUUUUUUCAAUGUACAUAGCAUUAUAUACACUGAGUGAUAUAUCCUUGAAAGUCAUCCUUUGGAGUCAGCUCAAUAAAAAUUCUG